UGGGGAAUAUUGGACAAUGGGGGAAACCCUGAUCCAGCAAUGCCGCGUGAGUGAAGAAGGCCUUAGGGUUGUAAAGCUCUUUCGCCCGCGAAGAUAAUGACGGUAGCGGGAGAAGAAGCCCCGGCUAACUCCGUGCCAGCAGCCGCGGUAAUACGGAGGGGGCUAGCGUUGUUCGGAAUUACUGGGCGUAAAGCGUACGUAGGCGGAUGCGCAAGUUGGGGGUGAAAUCCUGGGGCUUAACCUCGGAAUUGCCCUCAAAACUGCACGUCUUGAGACCGAGAGAGGUAAGGGAAAUUCCUAGUGUAGAGGUGAAAUUCGUAGAUAUUAGGAAGAACACCAGUGGCGAAGGCGCCUUACUGGCUCGGUACUGACGCUGAGGUACGAAAGCGUGGGGAGCAA
rnacentral:rRNA from 1 species